UACGUAGGGAGCUAGCGUUGUCCGGAAUCAUUGGGCGUAAAGAGCGUGUAGGCGGUUAGGUAGGUCCGUUCUGAAAACUCGAGGCUCAACCUCGAGACGCGGAUGGAAACCAUCUAACUAGAGUCCGGAAGAGGAGAGUGGAAUUCCUGGUGUAGCGGUGAAAUGCGCAGAUAUCAGGAAGAACACCCGUGGCUAAGGCGGCUCUCUAGUACGGUACUGACGCUGAGACGCGAAAGCGUGGGGAGCGAACAGG
rnacentral:rRNA from 1 species